CCUUUGACAACUCUAGAGAUAGAGCUUUCCCCUUCGGGGGACAAAGUGACAGGUGGUGCAUGGUUGUCGUCAGCUCGUGUCGUGAGAUGUUGGGUUAAGUCCCGCAACGAGCGCAACCCUUAAGCUUAGUUGCCAUCAUUAAGUUGGGCACUCUAAGUUGACUGCCGGUGACAAACCGGAGGAAGGUGGGGAUGACGUCAAAUCAUCAUGCCCCUUAUGAUUUGGGCUACACACGUGCUACAAUGGACAAUACAAAGGGCAGCGAAACCGUGAGGUCAAGCAAAUCCCAUAAAGUUGUUCUCAGUUCGGAUUGUAGUCUGCAACUCGACUACAUGAAGCUGGAAUCGCUAGUAAUCGUAGAUCAGCAUGCUACGGUGAAUACGUUCCCGGGUCUUGUACACACCGCCCGUCACACCACGAGAGUUUGUAACACCCGAAGCCGGUGGAGUAACCUUUUAGGAGCUAGCCGUCGAAGGUGGGACAAAUGAUUGGGGUGAAGUCGUAACAAGGUAGCCGUAUCGGAAGGUGCGGCUGGAUCACCUCCUUUCUAAGGA
rnacentral:rRNA from 1 species